AGCCUUGCCACUGGGCAAAAAAUAUCAAGUCAAAAAGGGUAUUGGUAGGACGGGCGACCGCCUCGAAAGUUCCCGACUAUGCAAAGCAGAAAC
rnacentral:sRNA from 1 species